ACCUGGGUGGCUGAGUGGGUUAAGCGUCCGACUUUGGCUCAGGUCAUGAUCUCACGGUUUGUGGGUUCGAGCCCCACAUCAGGCU
rnacentral:tRNA from 1 species